rnacentral:rRNA from 1 species
CACAGGUGGGAUUGCGUUUUAUAAUAAUGAAUGGGCAUUAAGCGUGAUUAGGUGGCCGACAGUGCUUCGCAACUCAUUGACUUUUGUUGUGAGUUUGGGUGGUAACCCCCCAUGGUCAAAUAUCCCCCCCUAGGGGGGAGUAUUCGCCCCUAGGGUAUUGGCUUGAGUUAUAAGAGGAGAGUUAGAGGAAUAACCAAAUGAAGGAUGAAAUCUAUAGAUAUUGGUUGGAACAUCGACAGCGACAGCAUCACUCUAUUUUAUGACUGACACUGAAUCACUAAAGUGUGGGGAG